rnacentral:rRNA from 1 species
CCUACGGGAGGCUGCAGUGGGGAAUAUUGCGCAAUGGGCGAAAGCCUGACGCAGCGACGCCGCGUGAGGGAUGAAGGUCUUCGGAUUGUAAAACUCUGUCAGCAGGGAAGAACGGUCACUGUGCUAAUCAGCAGUGAAUUGACGGUACCUGCAAAGGAAGCACCGGCUAACUCCGUGCCAGCAGCCGCGGGAAUACGGAGGGUGCGAGCGGUAAUCGGAAUUACUGGGCGUAAAGCGCUCGUAGGCGGUAUGUCAAGUCAAGGGUGAAAUCCCCGCGCUCAACGUGGGAACUGCCUUUGAAACUGGCAAACUUGAGUGUGUUAGAGGAGAGUGGAAUUCCUGGUGUAGGGGUGAAAUCCGUAGAUAUCUGGAGGAACAUCAGUGGCGAAGGCGACUAUCUGGCACAUAACUGACGCUGAGGAGCGAAAGCGUGGGUAGCAAACAGGAUUAGAUACCCGAGUAGUC